AACCCGUGCAUGUCCGGGUUCUGACAUGCACCUCCCUGUUGGACUGCCGGGCCUGAUGGCCCGGCCUUUUUU
rfam:Ruegeria sp. CECT 5091 genome assembly, contig: 0011